AUGUACCACUCGUACACUCCGGUUCUGAGCGCGCCAUCCACGCCCGCCUGACCACUGCUCGCUACGUUUUGUUAGCC
rnacentral:sRNA from 1 species